rnacentral:rRNA from 1 species
CGUGUAGGCGGUCCGUUAAGUCUGAUGUGAAAGCCCGGGGCUCACCCCCGGAAGGGCAUUGGAAACUGGCGGACUCGAGUCCCGGAGAGGAGGGUGGAAUUCCUGGUGUAGCGGUGAAAUGCGUAGAUAUCAGGAGGAACACCGGUGGCGAAGGCGGCCCUCUGGACGGUGACUGACGCUAAGACGCGAAAGCGUGGGGAGCAAACA